rnacentral:rRNA from 1 species
GACGUAGGGUGCAAGCGUUGUCCGGAUUUAUUGGGCGUAAAGAGCUCGUAGGCGGCUUGUUGCGUCGACUGUGAAAACCCGCGGCUUAACCGCGGGCUUGCAGUUGAUACGGGCAGGCUAGAGUUCGGUAGGGGGAGACUGGAAUUCCUGGUGUAGCGGUGAAAUGCGCAGAUAUCAGGAGGAACACCGGUGGCGAAGGCGGGACUCUGGGCCGAUACUGACGCUGAGGAGCGAAAGCUAGGGGAGCAAACGGG